GACGAACGCUGGCGGCGUGCUUAACACAUGCAAGUCGAACGGAAAGGCCCUGCUUUUGUGGGGUGCUCGAGUGGCGAACGGGUGAGUAACACGUGAGUAACCUGCCCUUGACUUUGGGAUAACUUCAGGAAACUGGGGCUAAUACCGGAUAGGAGCUCCUGCUGCAUGGUGGGGGUUGGAAAGUUUCGGCGGUUGGGGAUGGACUCGCGGCUUAUCAGCUUGUUGGUGGGGUAGUGGCUUACCAAGGCGUUGACGGGUAGCCGGCCUGAGAGGGUGACCGGCCACAUUGGGACUGAGAGACGGCCCAGACUCCUACGGGAGGCAGCAGUGGGGAAUAUUGCACAAUGGGCGGAAGCCUGAUGCAGCAACGCCGCGUGCGGGAUGACGGCCUGCGGGUUGUAAACCGCUUUCGCCUGUGACGAAGCGUGAGUGACGGUAAUGGGUAAAGAAGCACCGGCUAACUACGUG
rnacentral:rRNA from 1 species